rnacentral:tRNA from 1 species
GGGAUUGUAGUUCAAUUGGUCAGAGCACCAUCCUAUCAAGGUGGAAGCUGUGGGUUCGAGCCCGUCACUCCUG